ACAAUCCAUUUGCUUGAGUAGCAUGUACCAAGUACAAAGCCAAAAUGUGCAUGCAUAUAAGACCUGCACAUGAGAUGUUUAGUUCUUGCAAUUGAAAACAUUAUAAUUUUUGCGUAGCCAAACAACUCAACAUAAAGUUGCAGCCCCAUCCAAAAUAAACGUCGGCGCUCAAUUCUUUAUUAAACCCCACGUAAUCAAGACCGAAACAUAUGAGGAACAUCACGACUUCAUGAGGCUAUUUGACUAUUCACGAGACUAUUUGAUUAUUGACCACACAUAACGAG
rnacentral:lncRNA from 1 species